rnacentral:rRNA from 1 species
UUCCAGACUCCUACGGGAGGCAGCAGUGGGGGAUAUUGCACAAUGGGGGGAACCCUGAUGCAGCGACGCCGCGUGGGUGAAGAAGCGCCUCGGCGCGUAAAGCCCUGUCAGCAGGGAAGAAAAUGACGGUACCUGAAGAAGAAGCCCCGGCUAACUACGUGCCAGCAGCCGCGGUAAUACGUAGGUGGCAAGCGUUAUCCGGAUUUACUGGGUGUAAAGGGCGUGUAGGCGGGACUGCAAGUCAGAUGUGAAAACCAUGGGCUCAACCUAUGGCCUGCAUUUGAAACUGUAGUUCUUGAGUACUGGAGAGGCAGACGGAACUCCUAGUGUAGCGGUGAAAUGCGUAGAUAUUAGGAGGAACACCAGUGGCGAAGGCGGUCUGCUGGACAGCAACUGACGCCGAGGCGCGAAAGCGUGGGGAGCAAACAGGAUUAGAUACCCUUGUA